rnacentral:rRNA from 1 species
GCUCAGAUUGAACGCUGGCGGCAGGCCUAACACAUGCAAGUCGAACGGUAACAGGAAUCAGCUUGCUGAUUCGCUGACGAGUGGCGGACGGGUGAGUAAUGUCUGGGAAACUGCCUGAUGGAGGGGGACAACUACUGGAAACGGUAGCUAAUACCGCAUAACGUCGCAAGACCAAAGAGGGGGACCUUCGGGCCUCUUGCCAUCGGAUGUGCCCAGAUGGGAUUAGCUAGUAGGUGGGGUAACGGCUCACCUAGGCGACGAUCCCUAGCUGGUCUGAGAGGAUGACCAGCCACACUGGAACUGAGACACGGUCCAGACUCCUACGGGAGGCAGCAGUA